CAACCUCGAAAAUGUCCAACUGCAAAGACCCAUGUCUACAAAUUGCUGUCAGCCAGAGGAAUGGCUGUAACUUCCUUGGUGCCGAGAGAUGGGAUUUCACUAUGUUGGCCAGACUGGUCUCGAACUCCUGACCUCGUGAUCCGCCCGCCUUGGCCUCCUGAAGUGCUGGAACUAUAGGCGUGAGCCACCGUGCCCGGUCAAGAUAAUUUCUUAUAGGACAACAGGACAGGAUCACCCAGGAAAAGAUGGUAGCAUCUUCUGUUGGUCAAAUUCCACUCUAUUAUGUGUAGGGUGUUUGUUUAUCACAAUUACCCAGGAGUGUCCCAGUUUAUACCUCUUGUUCCUCCUUUCUAUCUCAAAGUGCUCUAGAGUGCACAUAGGGUCACUAUGCAUAGAUUAACACGUGUCAAGCAGCAUCACACAGCAUCAUUCACUGCUGCUAUAACUUGGGCAAGGGCUAGAGGCUAGAAAUGCAGGGAGGAUAAACUGAGCCAGCCAUGGAGACUGCCUUCCAGGAUAGGGAGACUGGGGGCCAGUGAGAAGCUGGCUUGCAAGGAGGCCAUCUGGUGUAGGGGAGCCUCUGCUCUCUAGGGUUCCUAAGCUGUAGCCUGGCCAGCUUGCUUGGCAGACUGGCUGACACUAGAAGGAGAGCAUUUUCCAAAAGCUCAGGCCCUGGCCAGAGUUUCCUUUUCAUCCCUCAACACUGGGAAUUGAUAACUCAGGCUUAGUAUUGGGGACAUCUGGCUCCUCUGUUCUAGGACCUCACUGUGAUCAAUUCGGGACAUGGGGAUGCUUUGGGAGACCAAACUGUGCCUCGUUGACUAAAGAGGUUACUCUGUAGUGGUCCUACCCAUUAGGUCUGCAGAAGCUCUGGAAGGGGUUUAGGAGGCACAUGACCAAAUCCCAAUAGAAGGAUGUGUCUGUGCACCGGCUGGCUGCGGGAGGAAGUUUGCCUCCCAAAGCCGCUUGUGUCUCUUGCAGCCACCCAGAGGAUGAUAGCACAAUAACCCAAAGUAAACACCACCUCUCCCCGCCCAGUUCUCUCCUUUUCCCUGGCCUCUGAAAAAUAACCCACGUUGGCAUGCAAUGUGAAGGCUGUGCCUUUGAGUCAUCAGUCAUACCCCAAAGUGGCAUGAAAAUGCAACUUUUACGAGAGCUCGAGAGGCAAAGAAAUAAACCAUAGCAAAUAUUUGACUGAUCCAAUUAUAAAUCUCCCCACUUCUUGGCAGAGACUGAGGAGGAAUGGUAAUUAAGAUAACUUAGUGGGUUUCCAGAGGAGCGGGAGGAGAGCAGCAGAGCCUAGACCGUGGAGCGGGGGCUGUUACUUUCCCAGAAGGGAAGGUGGCCACAGGCAGGGACCGGGCAGCCCAGAGAUGCUUCUAGAAACCACAUUGAUACACACCUGCCAGAGAGGGCAAGGUUAAAGACAGACUCAUUGCCCUUCGGGAAGAUGUUAUUACUGGGUCCAGGACCCCCCAAAAAGGGGGGAUGACUUCAUGCUAUUUGGAACAUUUUCUUGCUGAGGGUCAACACGAAUGGGAAAAGCAAUAAAUGCUGACAUUUCCCGGGGAAGCCUGCCACUCCCCUCACUCUGCACUGGCAGCAUUGCUGGCCUCCUGACGAUGUCUGAUGUUGAUUCUACCUCAGAUGGCAGGGCACGCUCAGCAGUUGGUGGGAUUGCAGGGAAGUGGCACAUGUGAGCUAGGGCUGCUUGAAGCCACAUGACCACAGGGUCUCUGGUCACAUCCAGAGAUGGUGGGAAUGACUUAGCUGCAGUGGGUCGCUCACUCCUGGGGGCCUGUUCAUUUCUUUCUGCCUCCAGCCAGGCCUGUGGCAAAGUGCGCCCAGCUGAUUCCUCAUUAAAGCUCAGCACAAUUUCUUUGCUCUCCUUCAAAGGGGCUGAGUGCUCAGGGAAGGGGGAGGAAUGACAGCUCCAGUGGGGGCUGGCUUCCCUGAGUGUGGCCUUGCCUGUCUUUUUCAGGACUCCCUGCUCAGUUCCUACUUACAGUAUCUGAGUCACUUAACUAAAUGCAAUCGGCCCAGCUGCAGGCACCACUGCUCGGGCCACUAUAAGAACCAGCCCCUGAGCUUCCGGACAGGAAACAGCAUCUGCAUUUCCAGACUGUAGCAGCUCAUCAUGCCAGGCUCCACAGGCAAGAAUCAAGCAGAUGGAAGCUACAGAGGAAACAAACAGGGUUCCCUGAAAUCAGCAGCUGGGGAGAAUUUAUCUUACAAGGGUGGAAUUCUUGAUUCUUUCAUUACAUGUCCUCUUGCAGCAGCAGCAAAAGUAAUAAAAAAUAAGAGCCUAUUUUUGCCUGGGCACUUGCUACAUGCCAGGCAUAAUAGCAAAUGCUGAUGUGUGUUAUCACAUUUCAUCCUCCCCAAAACCCUAGUCUCAUCUCAGAAGAGAACAGUGGUUUCUAGAGAAGUUAAGGAAUGGAUCCAGUGCCAUUGAGCUUGGUUGGUGGCCAAGCAAGGAUUUGAAGUUGGAUUUGCAUGAGUUUUAACAAUUUUGGGGGACACAUCCAUCUUUUCCAAGAACCUAGUUGUAGCUGCCAGCAUAUCUGGUGGCUGGCCUGGUUUGUUAAGGCCCCUCACAAUGCCACUGAGCGGAUAAGAAGGAGGAAGGAAGAACUUAGCAGUGCUAGGGUCAGACCUGGGCAGAGCAGGCUGGCCUGAGGACAGGGAGACAUCACACUGGGGCAGAGAAAAAAGGGUGCCUGGAAAGGUCUGGAUGGCUUUGCUGGGUGUUGGCUGUACUUGGUCUGUAAGUGGCUUUGGGAGCUGGCCCCUUCCCAAUUCCCUAAACGCCACUCUACCUGUAUGUUUUCCAGCCAUACUGCUCUUCUCUCUGUUCCUGGAAGAUGCCAAGCUCAUCCCAGCCAUAGGGCCUUUGCACCAGCCUUUCCCUCUGCCUGGCCUAUUCUUUCUCCUGAUCUCACAGCUGCUUGCUUCUUGUUAAUCCUGCCUUUGCAUAAAUAUCAUGACCUAAGAGAGGGCUUCCCUGACUACCCAACUGAAAUACCUCUAUCAAAAUGUAAAUCAAAACCACAAUGAGAUACUAUCUCACACAAGUCAAAAUGUCUACCAUUAAAAAGUCAAAAACAACAUGCUGGCAUGGCUGUGAAGAAAAGUGAACACUUACACACUGUUGAUGGGAAUGUGAAUUAAUUCAGCCACUGUGGAAAACAGUUUGGAAAUUUCUCAAGUAACUUAAAACAGAACUACCAUUCAACUCAGUAAUCCUGUUACUGGAUAUAUAUCCAAAAGAAAACAAAUCCUUCUACCAAAAUGACACAUGCACUCAUAUGUUCAUUGCAGCACUAUUCACAAUAGUAAAGAUGGGAUCAACCUAGGUGCCUACCAAGAGUGGAAAAAGAAAAUGUGGUACAUAUACACCACGGAAUACUAUGCAGUCAUAAAGAAUGAAAUCAUAUUUUUUUCAGCAAUAUGGAUGUAGCUGGAGGCCAUCAUUCUAAGGAAAUAAAUAUAGGAACAGAAGACCAAACACUACAUGUUCUCACUUAUAAGUGGGAGCUAAGCAUUGGGUAUGCACGGAAAUAAAGAUGGAACAAUAGACACUGGGGACUAUUAGAGAGGGCGGAGAGGGAGGGGGCAAGGGUUAAAAAACUACUGGGAUUUUUACUGUUGGUUAACCACUGGGUGCUAGGCUCACUACCUGAGAGAUGGGGUCAUUUGUAGACCAAACCUUAGCAUCAUGCAACAUACCCAGGUAACAAACUUGCUCAUGUACCUCUGAGUCUAAAAAAAAAGCUGAAAUUAUUUUUUUAAAAAACGUCUAUUACUUCUUCUUGUUUCCAACCUCAGCAAAAACUCAUGAUUCUUUGAAAAAAAAACUUGCUACUGAUUUACUAAUUUAGAAUUAAUCUUCCCCCUUUUGGAUAUGAACUUUCUCCAACACUUAAGAGUGGGAGACUUGUCACUGGAGUUCCAAGAUGGCCAAAUAGGAAGAGCUCCAGUCUACAGCUCCCAGUGUGAGCAUUGCAGAAGACGGGUGAUUUCUGCAUUUCCAACUGAGGUACCGGGUUCAUCUCACUGGGGCUUGUCAGACAGUGGGUGCAGCCCACAGAGUGUACGCCAAAGCAGGGUGGGCAUCACCUCAUCUGGGAAGUGCAAGGGGUCAGGGAAUUCCCUUUCCUAGCCAAGGGAAGCCAUGACAGAUGGUACCUGGAAAAUCAGGACACUCCCACCCUAAUACUGCGCUUUUCCAAUGGUCUUAGCAAACGGCACACCAGGAGAUUAUAUCCUGCACAUGGCUCAGAGGGUCCCACACCAACGGAUCCUCGGUUAUUGCUGGCACAGCAGUCUGAUAUCCAACAGCAAGGUGGCAGCGAGGCUGGGGGAGGGGCAUCCACCAUUGCUGAGGCUUGAGCAGGUAAACAAAGUGGCCGGGAAGCUCGAACUGGGUGGAGCCCACUGCAGCUCAAGGAGGCCUUCCUGCCUCUGUAGACUCCACCUCGGGGGCAGGGCAUAGCUGAACAAAAGGCAGUAGAAACUUCUGCAGACUUAAACAUCCCUGUCUGACAGCUAUGAAGAGAGUAGUGCUUCUCCCAGCAUGGAGUUUGAGAUCUGAGAACAGACAGACUGCCUCCUCAAGUGGGUCCCUGACCCCCUAGUAGACUAACUGGGAGACACCUCCCAGUAGGGGCCGACUGACACCUCAUACAGCCAGAUGCCCAUCUGAGACGAAGCUUCCAGAGGAAGGAUCAGGCAGCAACAUUUGUUGUUCUUCAAUAUUUGCUGUUCUGCAGCCUCCGCUGGUGAUACCCAGGCAAACAGGGUCUGGAGUGGAUCUCCAGCAAACUCCAACAGACCUGCAGCUGAGGGUCCUGACUGUUAGAGGGAAAACUAACAAACAGAAAGAAGGAAAACUAACAAACAGAAAGGACAUCCACACCAAAACCCCAUCUGCAUGUCACCAUCAUCAAAGACCAAAAACCACAAAGAUGGGGAGAAACCAGAACAGAAAAGCUGAAAAUUCUAAAAAUCAGAGUGCCACUUCUUCUCCAAAGGAACGCAGCUCCUUGCCAGCAACGCAACAAAGCUGGACGGAGAAUGGCUUUGACGGGUUGAGAGAAGAAGGCUUCAGAUGAUCGGUAAUAACAAACUUCUCAGACCUAAAGGAGGAUGUUCGAACCCAUCGCAAAGAAGCUAAAAACCUUGAAAAAAGAUUAGACGAAUGGCUAACUAGAAUAAACAGCAUAGAGAAGACCUUAAAUAACCUGAUGGAGCUGAAACCAUGGCACGAGAACUACGUGACGCAUGCACAAGCUUCAGUAGCUGAUUCGAUCAAGUGGAAAAAAGAGUAUCAGUGAUUUAAGAUCAAAUGAAUGAAAUGAAGCGAGAAGAGAAGUUUAGAGAAAAAAGAGUAAAAAGAAACAAACAAAGCCUCCAAGAAAUAUGGGACUAUGUGAAAAGACCAAAUCUACGUCUGAUUGGUGUGCCUGAAAGUGACAGGCAGAAUGGAACCAAGUUGGAAAACACUCUGCAGGAUAUUAUCCAGGAGAACUUUCCCAACCUAGCAAGGCAGGCCAACAUUCAAAUUCAGGAAAUGAAGAGAAUGCCACAAAGAUACUCCUCCAGAAGAGCAACUCCAAGACACAUAAUUGUCAGAUUCACCAAAGUUGAAAUGAAAGAAAAAAUAUUAAGGGCAGCCAGAGAGAAAGGUCUGGUUACCCACAAAGAGAAGCCCAUCAGACUAACAG
rnacentral:lncRNA from 10 species